AGAGUUUGAUCCUGGCUCAGAUUGAACGCUGGCGGCAUGCCUUACACAUGCAAGUCGAACGGCAGCAUGAUCUAGCUUGCUAGAUUGAUGGCGAGUGGCGAACGGGUGAGUAAUACAUCGGAACGUGCCCUGUAGUGGGGGAUAACUAGUCGAAAGAUUAGCUAAUACCGCAUACGACCUGAGGGUGAAAGUGGGGGACCGCAAGGCCUCAUGCUAUAGGAGCGGCCGAUGUCCGAUUAGCUAGUUGGUGGGGUAAAGGCCCACCAAGGCGACGAUCAGUAGCUGGUCUGAGAGGACGAUCAGCCACACUGGGACUGAGACACGGCCCUGACUCCUACGGGAGGCAGCAGUGGGGAAUUUUGGACAAUGGGGGCAACCCUGAUCCAGCAAUGCCGCGUGUGUGAAGAAGGCCUUCGGGUUGUAAAGCACUUUUGUCCGGAAAGAAAUCGCACUUACUAAUAUU
rnacentral:rRNA from 1 species